rnacentral:rRNA from 1 species
CCCUUAGAUGUUCUGGGCUGCACGCGCGCUACACUGAAGCGUUCAACGAGUAUUCACCUUGCCCGGGAGGGUUGGGUAAUCUUUUGAAAACGCUUCGUGAUGGGGAUAGAUUAUUGCAAUUAUUAAUCUUCAACGAGGAAUUCCUAGUAAGCGCGAGUCAUCAGCUCGUGCUGAUUACGUCCCUGCCCUUUGUACACACCGCCCGUCGCACCUACCGAUUGAAUGGUCCGGUGAAGCCUCCGGAUUGCGCGGCUUCGGCUGUCGCGAGAAGUUGGCUAAACCUUACCAUUUAGAGGAAGGUGAAGUCGUAACA